rnacentral:rRNA from 1 species
AUUGAACGCUGGCGGCAGGCCUAACACAUGCAAGUCGAGCGCCCCGCAAGGGGAGCGGCGGACGGGUGAGUAACGCGUGGGAACGUGCCCUUUGCUACGGAAUAGCCCCGGGAAACUGGGAGUAAUACCGUAUAAGCCCUACGGGGGAAAGAUUUAUCGGCAAAGGAUCGGCCCGCGUUGGAUUAGGUAGUUGGUGGGGUAAUGGCCUACCAAGCCGACGAUCCAUAGCCGGUUUGAGAGGAUGAUCAGCCACACUGGGACUGAGACACGGCCCAGACUCCUACGGGAGGCAGCAGUGGGGAAUCUUAGACAAUGGGCGCAAGCCUGAUCUAGCCAUGCCGCGUGAGCGAUGAAGGCCUUAGGGUUGUAAAGCUCUUUCGUGGGGGAAGAUAAUGACUGUACCCCAAGAAGAAGCCCCGGCUAACUCCGUGCCAGCCGCCGCAGUAAGAC